ensembl:snRNA U4 U4 spliceosomal RNA
AGCUUUGCGCAGUGGCAGUAUGGGAGCCAAUGAAGUUUAUCCGAGGCGCGAUUAUUGCAAAUAGAAUAUGGUGGCCACAUGCAGCUGGUUCAUUUUGGAGAAGUCUCUGCUUAAAGAUACACUGAUGUA